rnacentral:Y_RNA from 1 species
GGCUGGUCCAAGUGCUGUAGUGUGUACAACUAAUUGAUCACAACCAGUCCAGAUUCCUUUGUUCCUUGUCCACUCCCACAGUUAAACUUGACCAGUCUUAA